rnacentral:rRNA from 1 species
AACGCGAAGAACCUUACCAGGUCUUGACAUCCUCUGACACUCCUAGAGAUAGGACGUUCCCCUUCGGGGGACAGAGUGACAGGUGGUGCAUGGUUGUCGUCAGCUCGUGUCGUGAGAUGUUGGGUUAAGUCCCGCAACGAGCGCAACCCUUGAUCUUAGUUGCCAGCAUUCAGUUGGGCACUCUAAGGUGACUGCCGGUGACAAACCGGAGGAAGGUGGGGAUGACGUCAAAUCAUCAUGCCCCUUAUGACCUGGGCUACACACGUGCUACAAUGGAUGGUACAAAGGGCUGCAAAACCGCGAGGUCGAGCCAAUCCCAUAAAACCAUUCUCAGUUCGGAUUGUAGGCUGCAACUCGCCUACAUGAAGCUGGAAUCGCUAGUAAUCGUGGAUCAGCAUGCCACGGUGAAUACGUUCCCGGGCCUUGUACACACCGGAGUGC